AGCCACCAUUUAAAGAGUGCGUAAUAGCUCACUAGUCGAGUGAUCCUGCGCCGAAAAUGUAACGGGGCUAAACACAUUACCGAAAUCGUGGAUGUACCGUAAGGUACAUGGUAGGAGAGCGUUCUAAGGACGGCGAAGCUAGACCGUAAGGACUGGUGGAGUGCUUAGAAGUGAGAAUGCCGGUAUGAGUAGCGAAAGAU
rnacentral:rRNA from 1 species